rnacentral:misc_RNA from 1 species
AACGCACAUUGCGCCCGCCAGCAUUCUGGCGGGCAUGCCUGUUCGAGCGUCAUUUCAACCCUCAGGCCCUGCCUGGUGUUGGAGGACUGCGCACCGCAGCCUCCCAAAGCAAGCGGCGGCGGCGCCCCAAAACCGAACGCAGUAGUUACAUCUCGUUCUGGGUCUGGGUCGUUGUCCUGCCGGAAAACCCCCAUCUUUUUAAUGGUUGACCUCGAAUCAGGUAGGAAUACCCGCUGAACUUAA